CAGUAUCUGAGCCGCAGGGGCGCAGCGACUCUGGCUUUGGUUUGCUCCGUCCGGAAGAAGCUGACGGGGCAGAAUGAAGGCAGCCCCAGACGGAGGGCCCUCUGAAGAGGACACGUCUGAGCUGAGACCUGGGAAGCCAGAAGUGGGCGCUGCGUGGGGAGGGGUGGGGAGGUUGAUGCUCCCGCUGGAGGGGCGAUUUGUCGGGAUCGCGGGAAGAACUCGAGUCGGCGGAGAGACGAGUCGCCUGCAGGUGGCGCUCUCGGCCCACCCUUUUCGGUCCAGAUGAGAUGAUCAUAUGGUUCUUUUGAAAUGGUGAGCAAACUGAAGGAAGUCAAGUAGCUUGUCCAAAGUCUAAUUCGGACAGCCAACAUGUUUGAGAUAUUUAAAGCUUCCUGGGGCUCAUGAAGGAUGGGAGCAAAUCCCUUUACUCCAGAGUCCUUCCCCUUCCCCACAGUAUGAUUUACAGAGCCAUAAGCAGCUUCCCUACCAAGCCUCCUAAAAGAAGAGGUUAUGGGUGGGGAUUUCCCUGGUGGCACAGUGGUUAAGAAUCCGCCUGCCAAUGCAGGGGACACAGGUUCGAGCCCUGGU